rnacentral:rRNA from 1 species
GACGAACGCUGGCGGCGUGCUUAACACAUGCAAGUCAGGGGGUGGGGCAACCCAUCACCGGCGGACGGGUGCGUAACACGUGAGCGACCUGCCUUCGAGUGGGGGAUAGCCGGCCCAACGGCCGGGUAAUACCGCAUACGACACUGCCGGGGCAUCCCGGGGGUGUGAAACCACUUGGGCUCGGAGAGGGGCUCGCGGCCUAUCAGCUAGUUGGCGAGGUAACGGCUCACCAAGGCGAUGACGGGAGCUGGUCUGAGAGGAUGGCCAGCCACAUUGGGACUGAGAGACGGCCCAGACUCCUACGGGAGGCAGCAGUGGGGAAUCUUGCGCAAUGGCCGAAAGGCUGACGCAGCGACGCCG